CUUUUACCAACAGAAUAAAUGAUGCUAUGCCAGCUGUGGGCUAGCAUUUAAGACAACUGGCAGCGCUCUCUUUCAGCCUAAGCCACCACAUAAAAAGUCAGACCAUCUGCUGGAAGAACCACAUGGAGAGGCCCUGAGUCAACAUGGAGAGGAAGAAGGACUUGACUGAAUCCAGCCUUCCAGCUGUCCCUACCAAGGUGCCAGGCAUGAGAAUGAAGCUGUCUUGAACUCUGAAGACCAGCUUAGCCACCAGGCAGGAGAGCUGGGCAUCUAUGAGUGGGGACCCCAGGGGGACCUGCAAUCACCAGACUCACCUUCCAGAGCAGCACGGCCAGCAGCAGGAAGAUGAGGAUUCCCACCAACAAACUGAUGGCGAUGAUCCACCCCACGACGUAGCCACGGGGCUCCAGAUUGUGCAGGGCCUCGAAGACCACCUAGGAGGCAAC
rnacentral:lncRNA from 1 species